rnacentral:lncRNA from 1 species
AAGGGGGCAUGAGUUUUGACAUGAAGGUGUGUGGCAACUUCUUUUGGACAUCAUCUCUUCUUCCCAACGCCUCUUCCUCCCUUCUCCCCUUCAUCCAACAUCCUAGAUCUGAUGGUGAUCAGAUCUAAGAAGAGAAAAGAGAAAGAAGAAGAGAAGAAGAACGGUUCUUCUUCUCUUCAUGGUGAUCUGAUUCAGAUCCUAUCGGAUCUGUUCGAAAGAGUUCUCGUAGCGAUCUUCUUCUUCAAGAACUAGAAGAAAAGAUCUAGAUCCAAAGAUGAGGAGCGAGAUCUGUAAGGUGGUAACACACUGGUGAUCUCAGUGCUCUAAUUAGAUGGCUCCGUGUAGAUACCAGCA